rnacentral:lncRNA from 1 species
GAAAAUGCAAGCUGUAAAAUGCUCUUACAAAAAUCUUUCUGCUAAAAUAGCAAUAACAGUCUGCAAAUAAACAAAUAAUCUACUUGGGGCCAAUGUCCUUGAGAGCACAGAUCUGCUCCUCUCCCAUUGCAGACAUCACACUCACAACCAAGUCUUUCCCCUCAGCAAAACCAUCCUUGAUCUGCACCAAAAAAAUAUACGAUAUCAACAUCAAAAUGCAAAUACUGAAUUGAAUAGCGUAAGGGAGCAAAAGGAUAAUAUAGCAAUAGCAACAAAAUGGAAGGAAAAAUUCCUUGUGCAGAGAAAUAGUCCAUCCAACCGAACAAUGAGGGUAUGCUGUGGUAUAUUUCAAAAGAAAACUGAAACAUAACAACACACAUUUAACUCUGACCCAUAGAGAUGUCUUAUUUGUUUACACAGACCAAUAAUGUUAUAUAAGGGACACCUAGUGUGAAAAUUCCCACAUCAACUGAAGCCUUGGGUUCCACAUCAACUCAAAUAACAUGGUAUAGAAGUUAUAAUAUGAUUUGACCCUGAAUAUCCUCGCAUGACAGAAACAGGUUUGAAGUUAAUUUCAUCACUGAUGGUCAUUCUGUUUUGAAUUAGAAGAUGAACAGAGCUACAUUCAAGAUGUAUAAAAUGAACACAUGGAAGCUCAUAUAAUGGAAACAAACCUCCUAAAAAAUUACUAAAUCUGAUCCUUUCCUAUCUGACAUGAAAAAACUGAAAAGCAUAAAAUUUAUACAGAAAGUGAACUCCAAGGAUGUCAAUAUUUAAAAUGCAGCUCAAAUAGAAUAGUUCAAGAUCCUAACAGGAAUGUUAAGGGGGAAUUUAAUGUAAGUCCAUUCCCGGAAAAAAGGGCACAAAACAAACCUGGGUCAGCAGAUUGUCAUCAGUUGGAAGCCUCAGAUCAUCCUUUGUGUUACCAUUUUCAGUCAGCAAACUAACCUGAAAUAUUUGAUCUCAUCAGAACACAAAUUUAGAGACAAACAAGACUCAGGUAAAUGGCAAAACUUACAAAUCCAUCCUCAGAAAUAUCAAUCAGCUGGUAAUCAGUACGAUUGACAUGAGGAACCUGCAAACCAGAAACAACACCCAUUAAUCCUGAAAAAGUGUAAGCAGUAAUAAAGCAUCAAAUUAGAUACAUGGCAACAUAUAGACCAACAAAAGCUCAUACAUCACAGUUGUGCGAAGAUGGAACAAUAUCUUCAAGCUUUUUCCCAUUGAAGAUGUCAAUCCCAACAAAGUGGCACUUAGCAUGACCAUGCUUACCAGUCUUAGAGGUGGAAACUUCCACAACCUGAUAAAAUAAACUCUAGGCAUUAGUUGCUCAGAAACCAAGCAAAAUAAAUAAUUCAUAUCAAAUACUGUCACAUUAAUAGCAAAAACACAACUGAAAAACAAAGCAUCCGUAAACAUGGCACUCAAGUUUUCCUAACAUAUUAUCAUCAUCAAAAUGACUAUGUGCAGAUUCUUAUACAUGACCGAACCAUCCUAAACAAUAUCAUGAACUAGAAGAGCUAAACUGAGUAAUAGCAAUAGCAUGAGAGUAAAAUGUGCCUGAAACCAUGAUCGUUUUAAAUCAUAUAAUUUAUAUUACAAAAUCCUACAACUAGGAUUAGAACCUUUGGGAUUUGGGAAUCAAUUCUACAGAAAUAUCUGCUUCUAUCCUGUUAGAGUGAAACCACCACUCUUCAUUCGAGCUCAGUGGACUGAGAAAUUAAACUUUUGGGGCAUAUAUGUUACCACUAGUACUACCUUCUUUACUUUGUUCUUUGCUUUGAGUAUAACAGUAGUCGUAAUUCAAGUUCUUCCCACAUCUUUGAAUUUGAUCAGCUUUGCCAAAGAGGAAUUAUUGCUUGCAGAAAUUGAUUGAAACCAAUGAUAAUUUGAUAUUUUAAUAGUUUUCCAUUUUAAAUCAAAAAAGAAAUUUCCAUUUUGCAAUUAAAAUUGCAAAAGUUCGAGAUCCAUACGAAAAAACAUUCAAGAAAAAUCCAAAAUCAUAAACAUAAAUUUCACAUCAUAAUAAAAAUUUGAGAAUCAAAACUCACAAAACGAAAACAAAAACAAAAAAAGGUAGCCCUAAAACUGGGAAUGAUACAUUCACAACUGAGAACCAAUAAAAGCCGCAAUCUCAACUCAGAUCAAGCAAAAUAAAACCCCGGAAUACAGCAACCUCCACCGAAUAAAUCCCAGGGUUGAUUGAAAAAUUACAAAGUAAAGGAUCUAAAUAAAUUCUUAAAGCAGUAUAAUAAUAAAAACCUAAAAGUCUGAAGAAACAAACAGAGCCUCAAAAAUAACAUUCAAAAAAUAAAAUCGAGAACAAAUUUUGCCAUGAAACAAGCAGAAUAAGGAAAAACGACGGAUCAAGAAAUAGGAGAUCGGAGCGAGAGUAUACCUUGCAAGGGCGAGACUUAAUGACAAUGUACCCGUUCUUGCGGAUCGUGCCAGCUUGCUGAGGAUAGGUCUUGGAGGCUCCGGCGUCGCCCUUGGACUCAAAGUGAUGCUCCUCGUCAGACAUGACUCGCUAGAUCGGGGACUCGGAUGACUCGCUGGUUUCUGACUCACUGAUUCAGGGGAUGCGAGUUUUAGAAUCG